GUAGGUGGCAAGCGUUGUCCGGAAUUAUUGGGCGUAAAGCGCGCGCAGGCGGUUCUUUAAGUCUGAUGUGAAAGCCCACGGCUCAACCGUGGAGGGUCAUUGGAAACUGGAGAACUUGAGUACAGAAGAGGAAAGCGGAAUUCCACGUGUAGCGGUGAAAUGCGUAGAGAUGUGGAGGAACACCAGUGGCGAAGGCGGCUUUCUGGUCUGUAACUGACGCUGAGGCGCGAAAGCGUGGGGAGCAAACAGGAUUAGAUACCCUGGUAGUACACGCCGUAAACGAUGAGUGCUAAGUGUUAGGGGGGUUUUCCGCCCCCCUUAGUGCUGCAGCUAACGCAUUAAGCACUCCGCCUGGGAGUACGGCCGCAAGGCUG
rnacentral:rRNA from 1 species